AAGGGAUGUUCAUGUCUCCCUGGCAAAGGCAAGCCAGUCGCUGCUUAGAUCUGCUGGGAAGGAAAUGAAAAUAUGAAGAACACUGGGGCUAAUGUUCCAGAGUGCCUGCUGGUAGCCAACGCUCACUGCCUUGCAGAAACAACAGGGCAGAGAAAGAUAACUAUAUGACAUCAAGUUGUUCCAUGUUGGCCCGGCCAGAAAAGCUGUUGAGAAGAUUAAAGUGUUGAGAGUUACGGCUCAAUGUCCUACUAGAAAGUGGCAGAGCCUGGACUGGUAGAUGCCAGGUCUGUCUCUCAAGAGCCCAGGAGAUGCUUAAACCUGAUAUCAUCGCCUUAAUGCACCAAAGAUGCCCUCUCCCUCCCAGUUCCUUCUACUCUGCCCUGUAAUUAAUGCUCCCAGACUUGAAGAUGGAGUUACAAGUGAACCAGAUAUGCCAGAUUUACCAAGAGUACUCACCGACAGUUUAUGUUAGGGGAGUAAUCAAGGGUCAUAUCAUUUACCUUACUACCCUUUUGACUGCGAAAGUCAUUAUUGAUAUUUUUUAAUUGUGACCUGUUUAAUCUUCACUCUCCUUUGCUUCUGGAUCAUUUGAUUUUUCACCCCUGAAAAAUCUAACUCUUCAUGUCAACAAGAAAAAUCUCAAAAUGAAAUGGUAAAUCAAACAUCCCAUUGACUCAGGCUAUAAAAUAACUAAUCUCCUCCAUCUCUCUCC